GUCUCCGUAGAUCAGCGGUAGAUCGCCUCGAAUGCAUACUGUAUGUGUCACUGUCUGGAAGAGGUAGCGUGGGUUCGAAUCCCACCAGAGGCA